GUAUCUUGGAGUUAUUGGCUCUUCUGUCCAUCCAUCAGCCGGCGCCGGCUUGCUUCAUGCCUCAUUGGCUGACGGGUGGAAGCGGGGAUUUGGUGGUGGCCGGACAUGGCUGACGGCGGCGGCGGCUGGCAGCCGCCGCGCCCCUGUGAAGCCUACCGCGCCGAGUGGAAGCUGUGCCGCAGCGCCAGGCACUUCCUGCACCACUACUACGUCCACGGCGAGCGGCCGUCCUGCGAGCAGUGGCGGCGCGACCUGGCCCGCUGCCGCGCCUGGGAGGAGCGCCGCAGCGCCGAGGCCCAGCGAUCCCUCUGUGAGAGCGAGCGGGCACGGGUCCAGGCCGCACAGAAGCACGCCCUGGUGUGGACUCCAAGGCAGAGCCCUCCUGCAGACUGGCACCUCCCUCUGCCACAGGAGGAGAAGGACGAGUGACGGGCGCCCCUCCACCCUCGGCCAGUGUGGCUUCAUUGGAUCUGUGACCAGUCCCGUCUAGUGGGUCCUGCCUCCUCCCUCCCGGCUCGAGACAGAGUGGACGCAGGCAGCCUGACCUGUCCACUCUUCACUGCCUCAGGGCUCCUGCCACUGCAAUGCUCUGAAGGUCAAGUGCACCCACCCCACAGCUUCCAGGAAGCCAAGCACUGUGGCAGAGGUUUUACUGCUAAUAAGAUGGUCCAGCGGGCUUCCUGGGUGAAGCUGAGGCCAGACUAGCGGGCUACUGCCAAGUGCCCACCCUCCUCCAGACGGGUACCGAGACGUCAAGUGCUGGGUCAGUGCCCACGGUGGCCAGGGCUGAGCUGGGGCGGAAACCAGGAGCCACACACUCAGCCAGGCAAGGACCCAAGGACUUGAGCCAUCACCUGCUGCCUCCCAAGAUGUGCAUUAGCGGGAAGCUGGGACUCGGGCACUUUGGGGCGGGCUGAGUGUCUUAACUGCUAAUGUGAAACACCCAUCCCUGCGCCGACUUCUGUUCGUUCUCUGGGACAGAAGAGUCUGUUCCUUCAGAAGAGCAUGCCUCGAUGACUCCCUUUCCCUCUCAUGUGCUCCUCUGGCUGCCUGCGAGCCCCUCUGUCUGCUGUGUGCGGGGAGUGUGCGCUCGUAAGGGCCCACAAGCAGCUAAGCCAUCCUGGCUGGUUUGAUAAUGGGCAUUUCUGUACCCACUCUAAAGCACAGGGAGGAGGCCCCUGCACUUUUGCACUCUGCCUGUGAUGCUUGGAACUGCACUUUGGGGUCCCUGGGCCACAGCUGGGGAGCUCGGGAAAGUCUGGGAGCGCCAGCCAGUGUGAGCCAAUCCGUGAGGCGUCCCCCUGACUGCUGCCACACUUCCUGUCACCUGCUGUUGAGAGAUUGAGAUCUGAGCGUUGGCAGCUGUGUGCUCCCUUAGGCAGUGCUCUGCUUCUUGCUGUUUUAUAUCAACAUUCAGGUCCUCCCUCUGUGGUGCUACUGUUGCAUUUUGCCCCCCUUCCUAACCUCUCUGGACACAAUGUUCAUUUAUUUCGGGAUUCAUUCCGUCACAUCCAAGUGCCUACUGGACAGGGAUUGAGGCCCUUGGAUUGCAAUCUAGAAAGACAACAGUUGCCUUCAGAAUUUCUGUUGUAGUUUGGGGGGAAGAUGUAAACAGUAGGGACUGGUGUUGUGGCGCAGAGGGUUAAGCAGCUGCCUGGAACCCCAGGGUCCCAUGAGUGCAGUUUCUUAGCUGCUCCACUUACAAUCCAGCGUCUGCUAAUGUCCCUGGGAAAGCAGCAGCAGAUGGCCCAAGUACUUGGGCUCCUGCCACCAUGUGGGAAACCUGGAAUAUGCUCCUGGCUUCAGACUGGCCCAGCGCUGGUCAUUGUAGCCAUCUGGGGAGUGAACCAGUGGCUGGAAGAUCUUUCUUUCUCUCUGCCUCUGCCUUUCUAAUAAGUAAAAUAAAUCUUUUUCUUAAAGAUUAUUUAUUUAUUUGACAGCCAGAAUUACACAGAUAAGGAGAGGCAGAGAGAGAGGUCUUCCAUCUGCUGGUUCACUCCCCAAUUGGCUGCAAUGGCCAGAGCUGUGCCAAUCUGAAGCCAGGAUCCAGGAACUUCUUCUGGGCCUCCCACACGGGUGCAGGGGCCCAAGGACUUAGGCCAACUUCUGUUGCUU